rnacentral:rRNA from 1 species
AGAGUUUGAUCCUGGCUCAGAAUGAACGUUGGCGGCGUGGAUUAGGCAUGCAAGUCGAGCGAGAACCCCGCAAGGGGGGAAAGCGGCGAAAGGGAGAGUAACGCGUGGAUAUCUACCCUCAGACCUGGGAUAGCUGCGGGAAACUGCAGGUAAUACCAGAUAAUGUCUCCGGACCAAAGGUGUGAUUCCGUCUGAGGAUGAGUCCGCGUCCUAUUAGCUUGUUGGUGAGGUAAUGGCUUACCAAGGCGAUGAUGGGUACUGGGUGUGAGAGCACGACCCGGCUCACUGGGACUGAGACACUGCCCAGACACCUACGGGUGGCUGCAGUCGAGGAUCUUCGGCAAUGGGCGCAAGCCUGACCGAGCGACGCCGCGUGGAGGACGAAGGCCUUCGGGUUGUAAACUCCUGUCGAGGGGGAGGAAGGGGUAACCUUGGCCGAUCCCUGGAGGAAGCACGGGCUAAGUUCGUGCCAGCAGCCGCGGUAAGACGAACCGUGCGAACGUUAUUCGGAAUCACUGGGCUUAAAGCGCGUGUAGGCGGGCCGGCGCGUCGGUGCCUGAAAGCCCCCGGCUCAACCGGGGAACUGGGGCCGAUACGGCCGGCCUGGAGGGACGUAGGGGGACCUGGAACUUCCGGUGGAGCGGUGAAAUGCGUUGAGAUCGGAAGGAACGCCCGUGGCGAAAGCGAGGUCCUGGACGUCUGCUGACGCUGAGACGCGAAAGCCAGGGGAGCGAACGGGAUUAGAUACCCCGGUAGUCCUGGC